UACGUAGGGUGCAAGCGUUGUCCGGAAUUAUUGGGCGUAAAGAGCUCGUAGGCGGUUUGUCGCGUCUGCUGUGAAAACUCAGGGCUUAACUCUGAGCUUGCAGUGGGUACGGGCAGACUAGAGUGCGGUAGGGGGAGACUGGAAUUCCUGGUGUAGCGGUGAAAUGCGCAGAUAUCAGGAGGAACACCGGUGGCGAAGGCGGGGUCUCUGGG
rnacentral:rRNA from 1 species